AACGAACGCUGGCGGCAUGCCUAACACAUGCAAGUCGAACGAGACCUUCGUGUCUAGUGGCUCACGGGUGCGUCACGCGUGGGAACCUUCCCUUAGGUUCGGAAUAACUCCCUGUAAGGGGUGCUAAUACCGGAUAAUUUCUUCGAACCAAAGAUUUAUCGCCUUUGGAUGGGCCCGCGUUGGAUUAGCUAGUUGGUAGGGUAAAAGCCUACCAAGGCGACGAUCAAUAGCUGGUCUGAGAGGAUGAGCAGCCACACUGGGACUGAGACACGGCCCAGAAACAUACGGGAGGGAGCAGUGGGGAAAAUUGGACAAUGGGCGUAAGUCUGAAACAGCAAUGGCGUGUAAGGGAUGAAGGCCGGAGGGUUGUAAAGGUAGUUUAACAGGGAUGAUAAUGAAAGUACCGGGAGGAUAAGCUCCGGCUAAAUCCGUG
rnacentral:rRNA from 1 species